AGAUUAGCAUGACGCUGAACAUCUCGACAGACCUUUCAUCUCUGUUCACGUGGAACACAAAACAAGUGUUUGUCUUUGUGGUGGCUGAGUAUGAAACUCCCCAAAUUUCUUUGAAUCAAGUUUCCCUUUGGAUGGAAUUAUACCUGCAAAAGAGCAUACCAAGUUUUUAUCCAUACCACAAAUAGGUACAGAUUUAUUGACCAGGCAAGCACAUUACUUAGAUUGAAU